AAUGAACGUUGGCGGCGUGGAUUAGGCAUGCGAGUCGUGCGAGAACCGUAGCAAUACGGGGACAGCGGCGAAAGGGAGAGGAACACGUGGAUACCUACCCUCAGGUUCAGGAUAGCUAUGGGAAACUAUAGGUAAUACUGAAUAAUAUCUCCGGAUCAAGGGUGUGAUUCCGCCGGAGGAGGGGUCCGCGUCCUAUUAGCUAGUUGGUGAGGUAAUGGCUCACCAAGGCGAAGAUGGGUACGGGAUGUGAGAACAUGAUCCCGCUCAUUGGGACUGAGACACUGCCCAGACACCUACGGGUGGCUGCAGUCGAGAAUCUUCGG
rnacentral:rRNA from 1 species